rnacentral:rRNA from 1 species
ACCGGAUACUCUCUUUGGACCGCAUGGUCCGCUGAGGAAACAGUCCGCUGCUAGGGGAUGGUCUCGCGGCCUAUCAGGUAGUUGGUGAGGUAACGGCUCACCAAGCCGAAGACGGGUAGCUGGUCUGAGAGGACGAUCAGCCACACUGGAACUGAGACACGGUCCAGACUCCUACGGGAGGCAGCAGCAGGGAAUAUUGCACAAUGGGCGAAAGCCUGAUGCAGCGACACCGCGUGCGGGAUGACGGCCUUAGGGUUGUAAACCGCUUUCAGGAGGGAAGAAAAUGACGGUACCUCCAGAAGAAGCUCCGGCCAACUACGUGCCAGCAGCCGCGGUAAUACGUAGGGAGCAAACGUUGUCCGGAUUUAUUGGGCGUAAAGGGCUCGUAGGCGGUUCAACAAGUCGAUCGUGAAAGCCCGGGGCUCAACCCCGGGAGGCCGGUCGAAACUGUUGUGACUAGAGUUCGGUAGAGGUGAGUGGAAUUCUCGGUGUAGCGGUGGAAUGCGCAGAUAUCGAGAGGAACACCAUUAGCGAAGCGGCUCACUGGGCCGAUACUGACGCUGAGGAGCGAAAGCGUGGGGAGCAAACAGGAUUAGAAACCCUGGUAGUCCACGCCGUAAACGAUGAACACUAGGUGUAGCGGACUAAUUCACGUCUGCUGCGCCGUAGCUAACGCAUUAAGUGUUCCGCCUGGGGAGUACGGCCGCAAGGCUAAAACUCAAAGGAAUUGACGGGGCCCCGCACAAGCGGCGGAGCAUGCGGCUUAAUUCGAUGCAACCCGAAGAACCUUACCUGGGUUUGACAUCAUGGGUCUAGCUGUGGAAACACAGUGUGCGUAAGCGCCCAUGACAGGUGGUGCAUGGCUGUCGUCAGCUCGUGUCGUGAGAUGUUGGGUUAAGUCCCGCAACGAGCGCAACCCUUGUCCUAUGUUGCCAGCACGUAAUGGUGGGGACUCAUGGGAGACUGCCGGGGACAACUCGGAGGAAGGCGAGGACGAUGUCAAGUCAUCAUGCCCCUUAUAUCCAGGGCUGCACGCAUGCUACAAUGGGCGAUACAAUGGGCUGCGAUCCCGCGAGGGUCAGCUAAUCCCUUAAAGUCGUCCUCAGUUCGGAUUGGAGUCUGCAACUCGACUCCAUGAAGCCGGAGUCGCUAGUAAUCGUGGAUCAGCAAAGCCACGGUGAAUACGUUCUCGGGGCUUGU